rnacentral:lncRNA from 1 species
GCACUGAUGAAGUAUUAGCAGAAGAAAAGAAUGAGAAGAGUCGAGAAGAGGAUUUUGCUGAGGAGCAAAGGAAUUUAGAGGAUGAGAUGGAGAAGCGAAGGAGGAGAGUUCAAGAAUGGCAAGAGCUAAAGAGAAAAAAAGAGGAGUCAGAAAGGGAGCAGCUUGGUGUUUCUGCAGGUGCUGAAGAAGAACCUAAAUUGGGUAAAACAUGGACUUUGGAAGGAGAAUCCGAUGAUGAAGAUGCUGAGGGGAAACAUGGCAUGGAUAUUGAUGUGGAUGAUAAUGGCAGUGGCAGGUGCUGAAGAAGAACCUAAAUUGGGGAAAACUUGGACUUUGGAAGGAGAAUCUGACGAUGAAGAUGCUGAGGGGAAACAUGGCAUGGAUAAUGAUGUGGAUGAUAAUGGCAAGGUUAUGGAUGAUGAUGAUGGUAUGGAAAAGGCGGUUAGUUCCCCUGUGAUUC